rnacentral:rRNA from 1 species
AGUAACGGCGAGUGAACAGGGAAAAGCUCAAAGUUGGAACCUCCUGGCCCUAGGUCUGGCGGAUUGUAAACUAAAGCUCUCGAGUAGUUCGGCUAGCCUGGUAAAAAAGUUCUCUGGAAAGGGACGACAUAGAGGGUGAAAUCCCCGUCUUUGGCCAGAGCAUAGUCCAACGUUUGCUUGGAAGUGAAGAGUCAGGUUGUUUGGUAUUGCAGCCUAAAGCUGGAGGUAAAUCUCUCCUAAAGCUAAAUAUUGACGAAAGACCGAUAGCGAACAAGUACCGUGAGGGAAAGAUGAAAAGCACUUUGAAAAGAGGGUCAAAAAGUACGUGAAAUUGCUGAAAGGGAACCGUAUGAAAUCAGCUUGUCUCUUUGGUAAUCAACCUGGACCUCGGUCUGGGUGCACUUGCCAGUGAGUACAGCCUGCGACAAUUCGGCGCGAAGGAAAAAAUCRGGGGGAAUGUGGCCUCAGCUUCGGUUGUGGUGUUAUAGCCCUUUGAAAAAUACUUUGCUCUGGAUUGAGGACUGCAGCGAGCCAUUUGGGAUAGACUGUGGGCGCUUUGUUUGGACUGGGAGGAAAUUUCUAUCUCUGGUAGUGUUCUUUCAGUUCGAGCAAACUCGCCUACUUUUCUUUUUUCUCGCUUAGGUCGUAGGCAUAAUGAUUUUAUAUGACCCGUCUUGAAACACGGACCAAGGAGUCCACCAUCAUUGCGAGUCUUUGGGUGUAGAAACCCAUGGGCGGAAGGAAACUGACCAAGAUAUGAAACCUUCACCGGUGGCAAUAUCCUCCAGCAAGGACGUUUUAUACUGAACUGACUGAGAGAAAGCAAUGAUGAUGGGACCCGAAAGAUGGUGAACUAUACUUGAAUAGGGUGAAGCCAGAGGAAACUCUGGUGGAAGCUCGUAGCGAUUCUGACGUGCAAAUCGAUCGUCAAAUUUGAGUAUAGGGGCGAAAGACUAAUCGAACCAUCUAGUAGCUGGUUCCUGCCGAAGUUUCCCUCAGGAUAGCAGAAACUCACAAAGCAGUUUUAUGGGGUAAAGCGAAUGAUUAGAGGCCUUGGGGGCGAAAUGCCCUUAACCUAUUCUCAAACUUUAAAUAUGUAAGACGCCUUUCUU